rnacentral:pre_miRNA from 1 species
CCGUGUCAGGUUUGAACUUGGCAACUUUUUUCACAUUGAGACCUAAACUUUUUUUUAUCCAAGUUAGACCCUAAACUUGGUAAUUAUUCCCACAUUAAGCUUGAACUUACAAUUGUUCUCACAUUGGGGUUUGAAUUUGAGGGUUUUCAAGGGCUAAUUUAGAUAAAAAAAGAUUUCAUGUCCCAAUGUGAGAACAUUUGUCAAGUUUAGUGCCUAACUUUGACAACA